rnacentral:rRNA from 1 species
AUGAACGCUGGCGGCGUGCCUAACACAUGCAAGUCGAACGAAGCGUCCCGCCCGAAGAUGAGGAGUGCUUGCACAAUCUGAUUCAAUUGGGAUGACUAGUGGCGGACGGGUGAGUAACGCGUGGGUAACCUGCCUUAUACAGGGGGGAUAACAGUUAGAAAUGACUGCUAAUACCGCAUAAGCGCACAGUAUCGCAUGAUACAGUGUGAAAAGCCGAGACGGUAUAAGAUGGACCCGCGUCUGAUUAGCCAGUUGGCAGGGUAACGGCCUACCAAAGCAACGAUCAGUAGCCGGCCUGAGAGGGUGAACGGCCACAUUGGGACUGAGACACGGCCCAAACUCCUACGGGAGGCAGCAGUGGGGGAUAUUGCACAAUGGGGGAAACCCUGAUGCAGCGACGCCGCGUGAGUGAUGAAGUAUUUCGGUAUGUAAAACUCUAUCAGCAGGGAAGAAAAUGACGGUACCUGACUAAGAAGCUCCGGCUAAAUACGUGCCAGCCGCCGC